UACAUUUAAACCUUUAAUUAGGAGGUUAAUAAUUAAGCUCAAUAGCCCCUCAUAAAUAUCUUUACUCAUUGACUAUUAAUAUACUGAUCAAAUUUCUCAUGCCAUUUUAAUUAUUAAUAAAACAUAAUCAUCUGAACGUACUUCAGUCACGAAGGUAGUGAGAUGGACAUCAUGGAGACUGCGGUGACUUCUCAUUUUCAUACCUAAUCCUCGAACUACACUUGAAAGUGACACUGCAAGAUGAAUCAACCACAGCAGUAUAUUGGUGAAUCGGCUUAGAAAGGAAAGGAGGCAAAUGAGCCAACAGGGCGCAAACACAUUCGCUAUCGAUUGAUUUCAUCCACCUGCAACAUUCUUCUUCUACAGGAGUUUC
rnacentral:lncRNA from 1 species